AAUGAACGCUGGCGGCAUGCCUAACACAUGCAAGUCGAACGAGUGGCGGACGGGUGAAUAAUGUCUGGGAAACUGCCCGAUGGAGGGGGAUAACUACUGUAAACGGUAGCUAAUACCGCAUACCAUCGGAUGUGCCCAGAUGGGAUUAGCUAGUAGGUGGGGUAAAGGCUCACCUAGGCCACGAGCCCUAGCUGGUCUGAGAGGGUGACCGGCCACACUGGAACUGAGACACGGUCCAGACUCCUACGGGAGGCAGCAGUGGGGAAUAUUGCACAAUGGGCGCAAGCCUGAUGCAGCCAUGCCGCGUGUAUGAAGAAGGCCUUCGGGUUGUAAAGUACUUUCAGCGGGGAGGCGUUACCCACAGAGGAAGCACCGGCUAACUCCGUGCCAGCAGCCGCGGUAAUUC
rnacentral:rRNA from 1 species